rnacentral:rRNA from 1 species
UCAGGGAAGAAACGGCGGAGGCUAAUACCUUCUGCUAAUGACGGUACCUGAAGAAUAAGCACCGGCUAACUACGUGCCAGCAGCCGCGGUAAUACGUAGGGUGCGAGCGUUAAUCGGAAUUACUGGGCGUAAAGCGUGCGCAGGCGGUUGUGCAAGACAGAUGUGAAAUCCCCGGGCUCAACCUGGGAAUUGCAUUUGUGACUGCACGGCUAGAGUGUGUCAGAGGGGGGUAGAAUUCCACGUGUAGCAGUGAAAUGCGUAGAGAUGUGGAGGAAUACCGAUGGCGAAGGCAGCCCCCUGGGAUAACACUGACGCUCAUGCACGAAAGCGUGGGGAGCAAACAGGAUUAGAUACCCUGGUAGUCCACGCCCUAAACGAUGUCAACUAGUUGUCGGGUCUUAAUUGACUUGGUAACGCAGCUAACGCGUGAAGUUGACCGCCUGGGGAGUACGGUCGCAAGAUUAAAACUCAAAGGAAUUGACGGGGACCCGCACAAGCGGUGGAUGAUGUGGAUUAAUUCGAUGCAACGCGAAAAACCUUACCUACCCUUGACAUGGCAGGAAUCCCCGAGAGAUCGGGGAGUGCCCGAAAGGGAACCUGCACACAGGUGCUGCAUGGCUGUCGUCAGCUCGUGUCGUGAGAUGUUGGGUUAAGUCCCGCAACGAGCGCAACCCUUGUCAUUAGUUGCUACGAAAGGGCACUCUAAUGAGACUGCCGGUGACAAACCGGAGGAAGGUGGGGAUGACGUCAAGUCCUCAUGGCCCUUAUGGGUAGGGCUUCACACGUCAUACAAUGGUACAUACAGAGGGCCGCCAACCCGCGAGGGGGAGCUAAUCCCAGAAAGUGUAUCGUAGUCCGGAUUGGAGUCUGCAACUCGACUCCAUGAAGUUGGAAUCGCUAGUAAUCGCGGAUCAGCAUGUCGCGGUGAAUACGUUCCCGGGUCUUGUACACACCGCCCGUCACACCAUGGGAGCGGGUUUUACCAGAAGUAGGUAGCUUAACCGCAAGGAGGGCGCUUACCACGGUAGGAUUCGUGACUGGGGUGAAGUCGUAACAAGGUAACC